rnacentral:lncRNA from 1 species
CAAAACAAAGAAAGCAUACAUGGCGUCAUCAAUAGCUGUGUUAUGUACCACACAACAACAAAAUGUACAAAAACUCAAACCUAUAUCUACGGCUGAGUGACAAAAACAUGAUACGACAACUUCUUCAUAUCAAUGCUUACAGUUGAAGGUGAUGUAUCAUCUAAUCCCUCAAAAAAUUUUGUUAGAAGGGAUUAACUUGGCUCCUGAUAUCUUCACUUGAUAAUUACAAAAUGCUGCUGGAUGCUUUAACUUGGCAGUGCUCAUUCUUGAGUAAGUUGUCCUUAAUAAUCCAAAAAAAAAUUAAUGUUAUAUAUUAUUUGAAAUUACAGCAUGAGAGAAACAAACUGUUGGUGCAUUUAAAUUUUUGCGUACAUAUUAACUUUUAAAAAAAAUGAUACAUGAAAUGUUUACCAUUUUCAUGGACACUAUUCUGAGUACUCACAACAUCAUUAGCUACUGCAGCAUCUCCA